AGAUUGAACGCUGGCGGCAGGCCUAACACAUGCAAGUCGAGCGGCAGCACGGGUACUUGUAUCUGGUGGCGAGCGGCGGACGGGUGAGUAAUGCCUAGGAAUCUGCCUGGUAGUGGGGGGAAUAAACGCUACGGGAAACGGACGCUAAAUACCCGCAUACGUCCCUAGGGAGAAAAGCAGGGGACCCUUUCGGGCCUUGCGCUAUCGAGAUCGAGCCCUAGGUCGGAUUAGCUAGUUGGGUAGGGGUAAAUGGCUACAACCGAAAGGCGACGAAUCCCGUAAACUGGGUCUGAGAGAUGAAUCAAGUCACACUAGGAACUAGGAGACAACGGUUCCAAGACCUACCGUAAGGGAGGCAGGCAAGGUUAGGGGAAUAUUGGGACUAAAUAGGGACCGAAAAGCCUACGAUACCAG
rnacentral:rRNA from 1 species